rnacentral:snRNA from 1 species
GGAUCUUAGUGUGAUCUGGCUGUGACAUCUGUCACCCCAUGGAUAACAUGGGUUGAUUUGGCUGGUCUGGCUCGCUAGACGAGUGUCCUCUUCCUCCCUCACUGCUCCUUGUACGUUCAGUCAAAGAGGACAACCUUCCUGAGUCUUGGGUCAAAGGGUAUACGAGUAGCUACACUCCCCUGCUAGAACCUCCAAACAAGCUCUCAGUAAGUUUUGCUCUUUAUUUUUUUCCCUUUUGUUGCUUAUCUUUGUUACUAUUAUUGUUGUUACUGCUGUCGUUGUUG